AGCACAAUGAUCUGGUCAGGCAAGAGGAAAGGACACUAGUUCCACUUCCGGUGGGCUUCUAAGGCAAAUGCCAGAAAGACACCCAGAAAGAUGCUCAGGAAACACCUGAAUGUUUGAGCAGUUACUUGAAAUAAUUGCAGUCAAGCCAGAACAGACUUUUAAAAGAUCCUAAACCUUCUUUAACUGUACUGCUUGAAGAGGUGGCCUACAGGGGUCUGCUUCUCCACACAAAGCUGCAG